rfam:TPA: Bos taurus chromosome 7, whole genome shotgun sequence.
CCUGGUGGCUCAGAUGGUAAAGCAUCUGCCUACAAUGCAGGAGACCCAGGUUCAAUCCCUGGGUCAGGA